GGGCCUUUCUUAGGCCUAAUUCGCUGCUACUUUUGGGGUUUAAUCCAAAACCCGUUUUUGUAUACACAAGCCGUAUAUCAGUGUACACAGAUCGCAAAUCAGUACUGUUUCCUAUAUAUCGACCCAUAUAUCGACUGUAUACAGUCCCCCUUGAUGCCUACAACCUGUAUCUUUGUUUUUUUCCAGCAUUCGUUGCGCUGAACUUGUAUACCAUUGUAUGAUGAAUGUAUACAGGCUGCAUAUCAGCCCCUUUUCUUGGGGUACUGGACCAGUAACCUGUGCUCAAUCUGUAAUUCUGUUUUCAAUGGUUUGACUAAGAAUGGGGCUGACUCGGUAAAGAAAUUGAAUCCUCCAUGGCUCGUAUCGGAAAUGCAAAGAGAAAAGAAAGUCCACAAGAGACUCGGACGAGGUUCACAUGUAAC
rnacentral:misc_RNA from 1 species